rnacentral:rRNA from 1 species
GCAAUGGGGGAAACCCCGACCAGGGGAAUCCAAGUGCUUGCACUUUGUGUAAGCUGUUCGGUUGUCUAAAAAACAGCCGAAGGAAGGGCUGGGUAAGACAGGUGCCAGCCGCCGCGGUAAUACCUGCAGCCCGAGUGGUGAUCGAUUUUAUUGAGCCUAAAGCGUCCGUAGCCGGACUAGUAAACCCUUGGGUAAAUUGGGCAGCUUAACUGUCCGAAUUCCGAGGGGACUGCUAGUCUUGGGACCGGGAGAGGUCAGAGGUACUCCAGGGGUAGGGGCUAAAUCCUGUAAUCCUUGGGGGACCACCAGUGGCGAAGGCGUCUGACUAGAACGGAUCCGACGGUAAGGGACGAAACCCUGGGGCGCGAACCGGAUUAGAUACCCGGGUAGUCCAGGGCGUAAACGCUGCAGGCUUGGUGUUGGGGACCCUACGAGGGUGCCCAGUGCCGGAGUGAAGAUGUUAAGCCUGCCGCUUGGGGAGUACGUCCGCAAGGAUGAAACUUAA